UAGGCAGCACUUCUCCACUGGUCGACCUUUUCCUCACUUUGGCUCUCCUCCUUUCUCAGUCAUUCAGCCGUCGUAGAUAUCCCAGAUCUGCAUGGCGCCCCCUGUAGUUUUCUCCUCUGUAGUUGGUUUCAGCUGCCUGCUUCGCCCGCACGUCCGGUUCCAGCGCAGGGCGUCGGUUCUGAGAGCACGCGGGCUGUUUUUUUUUGCUAGUAGCACGCGAGCUGUUGAGGCGCCAACGCAGGGCAGUCCCUGCGCUGGCUAGCGCGGCGACGAGCAAGGGUGCGGCAACCAACCUGGUGUACGAUCAGGUCGGGGACCACGACCCCCUCGUCAACGUAGGCGGCGGCUUGCGUGCGACCUGCUCGCAAGCAGGGGAUGCCUCGUCCGGCGUGUAUGACGAGACCACUGCUUUUAAACCUGACCGGGACGUAGACGAAGCGAGCAGGUCUGGCUUAAAUGCUCCUGUUUAGUAAUUUAGGAUCUUAUCUUAUGUGUGUGUGCUGUUUGUAUGUCUGACUUUGAGUUUGAUUUAUCCGAAAAAAUGUGUUGUACGUCUGUUCUGGAAUAAAACGUAGGUAAAUUUCAAAUAUA